rnacentral:misc_RNA from 1 species
AGACAGGUGAAUCAUCGAAUCUUUGAACGCACAUUGCGCCCACUGGUAUUCUGGUGGGCAUGCCUGUUCGAGCGUCAUUAUCCUCCCUCAAACCCCGGGUUUGGUGUUGGACCCAAGUUGUGUGAACAACUGGUCUCAAAGACAAUGACGGCGUCCGUGGGACCCUCGGUGCAACGAGCUUUUAGGAGCACGCAUCGAGUUGCAAGGACCUUCCGGGCCGGUCUCCUUUACCAUUUUACAAGGUUGACCUCGGAUCAGGUAGGAAUACCCGCUGAACUUAAGCAUAUCAAUAAGCGGAGG